GACGAACGCUGGCGGCGUGCCUAAUACAUGCAAGUAGAACGCUGAAGGAGGAGCUUGCUCUUCUGGAAGAGUUGCGAACGGGUGAGUAACGCGUAGGUAACCUGCCUGGUAGCGGGGGAUAACUAUUGGAAACGACAGCUAAUACCGCAUAAUAUUGAAUAUCGCAUGAUAAUUGAUUAAAAGAUGCAAUUGCAUCACUACCAGAUGGACCUGCGUUGUAUUAGCUAGUAGGUGAGGUAACGGCUCACCUAGGCGACGAUACAUAGCCGACCUGAGAGGGUGAUCGGCCACACUGGGACUGAGACACGGCCCAGACUCCUACGGGAGGCAGCAGUAGGGAAUCUUCGGCAAUGGGGGCAACCCUGACCGAGCAACGCCGCGUGAGUGAAGAAGGUUUUCGGAUCGUAAAGCUCUGUUGUAAGAGAAGAACGAGUGUGAGAGUGGAAAGUUCACACUG
rnacentral:rRNA from 1 species